AUUGAACGCUGGCGGCAGGCUUAACACAUGCAAGUCGAGCGGAGAUGAGGUGCUUGCACCUUAUCUUAGCGGCGGACGGGUGAGUAAUGCUUAGGAAUCUGCCUAUUAGUGGGGGACAACAUUCCGAAAGGAAUGCUAAUACCGCAUACGUCCUACGGGAGAAAGCAGGGGAUCUUCGGACCUUGCGCUAAUAGAUGAGCCUAAGUCGGAUUAGCUAGUUGGUGGGGUAAAGGCCUACCAAGGCGACGAUCUGUAGCGGGUCUGGGAGGAUGAUCCGCCACACUGGGACUGAGACACGGCCCAGACUCCUACGGGAGGCAGCAGUGGGGAAUAUUGGACAAUGGGGGGAACCCUGAUCCAGCCAUGCCGCGUGUGUGAAGAAGGCCUUAUGGUUGUAAAGCACUUUAAGCGAGGAGGAGGCUACUGAGACUAAUACUCUUGGAUAGUGGACGUUACUCGCAGAAUAAGCACCGGCUAACUCUGUGCCAGCCGCCGCCGUAAUAC
rnacentral:rRNA from 1 species